AACGAUAGCUAAUACCGCAUAAAAGUCGACAUUGCAUGAUGUUGACUUGAAAGGUGCAACUGCAUCACUAAGAGAUGGACCUGCGUUGUAUUAGCUAGUUGGUGAGGUAACGGCUCACCAAGGCGACGAUACAUAGCCGACCUGAGAGGGUGAUCGGCCACACUGGGACUGAGACACGGCCCAG
rnacentral:rRNA from 1 species